rnacentral:misc_RNA from 1 species
UCCGGUUUAUCACCGGCGGUCCCCUUAGAGUUCCCGACCGAAUCGCUGGCAACUAAGGGCGAGGGUUGCGCUCGUUACGGGACUUAACCCAACAUCUCACGACACGAGCUGACGACAGCCAUGCAGCACCUGUCUCUCGGUUCCCGAAGGCACUCCACCAUCUCUGGCGGAUUCCGAGGAUUUCAAGGGUAGGUAAGGUUCUUCGCGUAGCAUCGAAUUAAACCACAUGCUCCACCGCUUGUGCGAGCCCCCGUCAAUUCCUUUGAGUUUUAACCUUGCGGCCGUACUCCCCAGGCGGAGAACUUAACGCGUUAGCUUCGAUACUAAGAAGCAAGCUUCCCAACAUCUAGUUCUCAUCGUUGACAGCGUGGACUAC